rnacentral:tRNA from 1 species
GGGGCCAUAGCUCAGUUGGGAGAGCGCCUGAAUGGCAUUCAGGAGGUCGUCGGUUCGAUCCCGUCUGGCUCCACAA